UUUCAGAAACAGAACCCCGCUCCAAGUCUUGUGAUCAUAAUCAGUUAGCAUCUGUCAAGGACAUGGGAGGAGAUAAGGAAAAGGGAGAGGCCUACUUGGAAAAAAAUUUUCUUGUUUAGGAGAGUCGCUUCCAGGAUGGUCGCUAAGAUACUCCCUGGAGCCGUUGCUUGGGAUGGCUUCUCGAUGGUUCUGAAUCGCCCCACCAUAACCCCCAGAGCGUGAGCGGGUCGGGGAAGCUGGGAGGGCCUUCCCUGUGCUGAGGGCCCGAGUUGAUCUCAGCCUAGCGUCUGUCACUGCUACUGCGCAUCUGCUAACUGCAAAGAAAACAACAGAAACCCUGGAGCGGUACAAGCCAACAUGACAGGCUCUAAUGGUCCUGGUCUGGAAUCCUAUUGUGCAACACAUGUUUACUGAACAUCAGUUAUGAGCCAGGCACCAUGCCAAAGACUGGAGACCACAGAUACAGGGAAAAGAGCAAAACCCCAAGGGGCUUAGAAACACAAAAGUGCUUGCCAAUGUGGUGUAAGAUGUUGACAGCACCCAAAAGAAUGUUCAUCUAGAUGCCUGUGGAGUGACUUUUAAAAUGAAGUCUGGGAAAUGAAAAAAUUAUCUGUGCAAAUAA